rnacentral:rRNA from 1 species
AUUGAACGCUGGCGGCAGGCUUAACACAUGCAAGUCGAGCGGAAACGAUGGUAGCUUGCUACCAGGCGUCGAGCGGCGGACGGGUGAGUAAUGCUUGGGAAUCUGCCUUGAGGUGGGGGAUAACAGUUGGAAACGACUGCUAAUACCGCAUAAUGCCUACGGGCCAAAGAGGGGGAUCUUCGGACCUCUCGCGUCAAGAUAUGCCUAGGUGGGAUUAGCUAGUUGGUGAGGUAAUGGCUCACCAAGGCGACGAUCCCUAGCUGGUCUGAGAGGAUGAUCAGCCACACUGGAACUGAGACACGGUCCAGACUCCUACGGGAGGCAGCAGUGGGGAAUAUUGCACAAUGGGCGAAAGCCUGAUGCAGCCAUGCCGCGUGUAUGAAGAAGGCCUUCGGGUUGUAAAGUACUUUCAGUUGUGAGGAAGGGGGUGUAGUUAAUAGCUGCAUCUCUUGACGUUAGCAACAGAAGAAGCACCGGCUAACUCCGUGCCAGCAGCCGCGGUAAUAUGGAGGGUGCGAGCGUUAAUCGGAAUUACUGGGCGUAAAGCGCAUGCAGGUGGUUCAUUAAGUCAGAUGUGAAAGCCCGGGGCUCAACCUCGGAACUGCAUUUGAAACUGGUGAACUAGAGUGCUGUAGAGGGGGGUAGAAUUUCA